rnacentral:lncRNA from 1 species
CGUAAGUCUUUAUGAAACAGUCCCCAGAUCUUGUAUUGUUUAAAGUCUGAUUACAAUCUGGAUCUCAUUACACCUGUCUCUCUCCGUAGGGAGUUACACUAACAACCCUUCUUAUCAUAUAAUAUGUAACUGAAUGCCUUGCCUGAGGAUAUAGCUGCUGUAUCAGGGACUGAUACCAAGAUGGCAUCUCUUUUGUGUAGUGGGUCAGUUCUUCUGUCCAUCCCCUGUGACCAGUCUGACCACCAUGUCUCAGACCAGCAAUACAAUUCUGUGUGGAGAUCAACUUGGAAACGUCUACCUGCUUGAAUGGAAACAAUAAGAUCAGACAAUUUGAACACUAAUUUUGUCCGUCUUGUGGGGUGUGAGAGUUCAACGUUUAGCCGAUUUCUGCUAUUUAUUGUUUUGAUUUUCAGCUUAACUCCAGAUUAAUUCAAACUCUCUUACAGCAUUUUUCAGCUCUUUCACUCCCCUGAUCUUGUUAACUCUCAACUUCAACUUUUUUAGCUGAUUUAAGUUAUUUGGGAUUUUGAUUUUCAGUUUAAUUUCAGCUUUUGUCUAACACUCUGUAGCAUUUCAUUUUAUUUAUUUUAUUUUAUUUAUGAUAAUUUACACCCUUGAUCUUGGUGACUCGACUGUUGACUUUUUUUCAUGAAAAGGCAAAGCAUGGUAUAAAAUAUUUGUUGAUAUUAAAAUCAUAAAUUUCCGUUCAGACAUAAGACCAGACAUCAGCGUUGUUCAAGUGUUUGAUCUGCCUGAUAUCUAAAUUUCAUUUGAAUUUAUAGAUAAGACUAAUCAAAAAGAGUAGUGUUUGAUAAUUUUAGUUCUAUUUGUUCUGAUUUGUUUUGUGUUUUUAUCACCAUUUACUACCAUGAGCUCCAAAUUGGAGGAUUUUAGAUUAUGCUGCCAAUUAUCAAAAUUCAUUUUGACAUAAGCCAAGAGUAUUACAUUUGCAUGAUGCCCCUCUUUGUGACAUUAGUUGUAACAUGUACUUAUUGCAAGACAGUGAUGUUAUGUACUUUUUAAUAUUUUCUUUGGUUUGCUACUUAUAAUGAAAAUGAGAUUUAGAAUGUAGUAUUUGUAGAUCAUAUUGUGGAAACUAAUUUCUCCAUGGUGAAUAUUAAUAUGCAACGAUAGCAUUUUUAUUUUGCACAUUGUAUAGUGCAUCAAAUAUUUUUAUUAUUAACAACAAAAAAUUGACCAUUGUAGCUACUGUAUGCUAAAAUUUAGAAGAUCAUAUUUUCUGAUACAUGUUAUACUAGAAUGUGUUUGAAUCAUACAAAUACAAGCAUUAAUUAAUUUCAUUGUUAGUAUUGAAACAAAUAGCUGUUUCAUGGAUAUGAGAAAAUAGAUAAUUAAUUGAUAUGUUUUGGAAGUCUUUGUGAUAUCAUUGCUUGAUGUAAAAUUAAAGAUUGUUAUGGGUGGAGAGUGUGUUCCCUCUUUCCUGUAUAUUUAGAUAGAUUAUUCAUGUCUUUCAUUUUUUGUAUGAUCAGCCUUUAUAAAAAGAUAUUAAAAGUAUAAUAUAUAUAAUUUCUAUGUAUAACAUGCUAUUCAAUUGUUCUAUGCAGUGUAGCUGCUACAUAAAUAAAUCUAUACAUUUUUUUCUUUUAUUUAGGGCUUUAGGCAAUAUUGACUCUGUUAUAUCAUAAUGUUUUGUUGUCUUGUACUAUGCUUUUUGUAAAACUUUAUCUUUAUUAAAUUGAAAGUGGCGCCCCUCACCACCCGAUGCUUUUUGCAGAACUUUGCUGUUGAUAAUCAUCUGUUCUU